rnacentral:sRNA from 1 species
AGUGCUCGCUCCUGCUCGGGGCGCUGCGGCCCCGGGCGUCGCCAUGACCAGCGAGCUGGACAUCUUCGUGGGGAACACGACCCUUAUCGACGAGGACGUGUAUCGCCUCUGGCUCGAUGGUUACUCGGUGACCGACGCGGUGGCCCUGCGGGUGCGCUCGGGAAUCCUGGAGCAGACUGGCGCCACGGCAGCAGUGCUGCAGAGCGACACCAUGGACCAUUACCGCACCUUCCACAUGCUCGAGCGGCUGCUGCAUGCGCCGCCCAAGCUACUGCACCAGCUCAUCUUCCAGAUUCCGCCCUCCCGGCAGGCACUACUCAUCGAGAGGUACUAUGCCUUUGAUGAGGCCUUUGUUCGGGAGGUGCUGGGCAAGAAGCUGUCCAAAGGCACCAAGAAAGAUCUGGAUGACAUCAGCACCAAAACAGGCAUCACCCUCAAGAGCUGCCGGAGACAGUUUGACAACUUUAAACGGGUCUUCAAGGUGGUAGAGGAAAUGCGGGGCUCCCUGGUGGACAAUAUUCAGCAACACUUCCUCCUCUCUGACCGGUUGGCCAGAUGGGGAAGGGUCAUAGAGAAGUGACUUGAGACACGUCACACAGUGACUUAAGGCAGAGAGAGGCCAGAACUCGGACACCCAGCUGAGGUUGCAGGUGGGAGCUGCUUCCUAAGAAGGAAUUUCAAGCCCUAAGAGGACCCUCCUCUCGUCUGUGCAGGGACUAUGCAGCCAUCGUCUUCUUUGCUAACAACCGCUUUGAGACAGGGAAGAAAAAACUGCAGUAUCUGAGCUUCGGUGACUUUGCCUUCUGCGCUGAGCUCAUGAUCCAAAACUGGACCCUUGGAGCCGUCGGUGAGGCCCCCACUGACCCAGGUGCCUGGACGCCUCCCCAUCCUCAGGACCUGAUUCCCCACCAGUAGUUUCUCCCACAGGCCCUCAGUUCCUGGCAUCCGCUCCUGUUCAUGGCCCCCACCCAGGCUCCCCCUGCCCACGAAUGUUUUCCCCACACACACCUUGUCUGCAGACAAAGGGCCCAUUGCCUCUCUGUGG